rnacentral:tmRNA from 1 species
GCCCUUUUCAUCCGCGCCCCGAAGGCCUAUAUGAACCGUGUCGUCGCAAGGCGACUAUGGCAAUAAACGAACGAUGGAAUAAGCCUAUUGGACCCGGGGGCGGUACCCGGCGCCUCCACCAAAAACCGGUCCGGCCGCAAAAAGCGGCGCUGAACAGACCGACCGGCUUUUGAUGGGGGCGAAAUAGGAUCGACAAGGGUGUAAAGAUCGCUUUUUUGCUCGGCAUGAUACCGCCGUUAUCGGGUCAAAUUAGUAGUUGCCAACGACAACUAUGCGGAAGCUCGUCUCGCUGCUUAAUCGCGGUGUGACACUUCAAAUCAAGUCCUAAGGGGUCGCACUCUUAGGCGGGGUCCGAAGGCACCUGGCAACAGAAGCCUUCACC